GACGAACGCUGGCGGCGUGCUUAACACAUGCAAGUCGAGCGGUAAGGCCCUUUCGGGGGGUACACGAGCGGCGAACGGGUGAGUAACACGUGGGUGACCUGCCCUCAGCUCUGGGAUAAGCCUGGGAAACCGGGUCUAAUACUGGAUAUGACUCCAUGACGCAUGUUGGUGGGGUGGAAAGCCUUGUGCGGCUGAGGAUGGGCCCGCGGCCUAUCAGCUUGUUGGUGGGGGUGANGGCCUACCAAGGCGACGACGGGUAGCCGGCCUGAGAGGGCGACCGGCCACACUGGGACUGAGACACGGCCCAGACUCCUACGGGAGGCAGCAGUGGGGAAUCUUGCGCAAUGGGCGAAAGCCUGACGCAGCGACGCCGCGUGAGGGAUGACGG
rnacentral:rRNA from 1 species